GAGGAAAGUUAUUUGCAGAGGAGAACAAGAUCAGGACUCUUCCUAACAAAGGCUGAGUAAGAAACUGGGUUUCUGACCUCUCUACCCCAGCAAGCUCAGAGUCCCCUGCCUUUCCUCUGUUCUGGCUCUGUGUGUUUGCAUUACUCACUCUGUGGUUAGAAGUUCAGGUAAGUAAUUCUGGAAAAGGAGCUUUUGGAAAAAGUUGCCUGGAAAACAGGACGCUGCUUGGAGUGUCAUUUCUCCUUAUCAAUUGAAUAUGGACUUAGACAACUCAGCUCAGGUGAGGGGACACUCAUUCUGGGUAAGGUGGAAGAGGGAGGGCAGGAGAGGGGGCCUGGCCAGGUUUUUGUAGACAUUUUGAUGUCAGCUUAUAGGCUGAUAGCAGCAGCACACUCGUCACCACACAAUCAAGGUUCAACGGAUUGCCUAGGACACAAAUUGGCCCACAGACAGAAGGGAUUAGCCUUAUCUCAGAUGAGAUUUUGGACUUGGACUUUUGAAUUAAUCCUUCAAUGACCAUAGUUUAAGAAGAGAUAUCUUGAAAACACGGAAAGAGAAAAGUCAAUACAAUAUUUCCUAAUUUUUUAAGAGGUCAGAGAAGGGAGUUACUGUGUGGCCUGGAGCAGGUGAUUCUGACUACCAAGGGAAAAUUGGAGUACUACUCCACAAUGGAGGGUCUGCAGGAUGGACCCGGCAGCUGGUGCCCUGUGUGAGGAACGCUGCAACGGACUGCGACAGAACCCUCGAAAACGAAGGUGAAGAGACUGUGCAGUCAUGUGACAGACACAUCAAACCAUACCAUGGCGUGGCUAAGACCCAAGCUGGUAUCAAAAAUAAAGGAAACGACGCUGCAGGACCCGCAGCCCCAGACGAUGUGGCUUCCUCCGAUGACACAGGCCCCAGACAUUACCUGGGGGAAGCUGAAGAAGACAACUCAGGAGGCCGAGUGAAUCCUUCUCUGGACACAGACACCAUCACUCCAGAUAAUCUGUUCCUUGCUAUGCUCUCUAUUGUACCUUGCAACUCUCAUAGGGUAUUCACCUUUCUUAUUCUCUCACUUUGCCUGCAACUCAUACCUGCUACAUUCUAUUGGGCCCAUCUUCUAAGAUCUGCCUUUCUUCCAACCUGUUACCUUGGCAGACACCCCCUUCCCAUCCUCUAAUAAUGUAACUGCUUAGCUGGGAGGGGUUGACAUGCCCCCAGUGGGGUUCCUUAAUAAUGGCACACAUUGAACUGAGGUGCCAAGUAACACUACAUAUCUCUCCUUGAUUGGAAAAGAAUAAUAGUGACUAUACUAAUGUUUGACUUAUGUUAUUUACUAAUUCUAGGAUGCAAAGCCGGAACACGAGCUGUAACCGCUGCGCCUGUCAAAUCUGUCACUGCACACAUCUGUACUAUUCAAUCAACAAAACCCGAUGCUAAAAACAGAAAAGGGGGAGACGCGGGAGAUCGGUCAGAGUGGUAGGAGAAGGUAUAGGGAAAGGAACAGACCUUCUGAAAGGCGGGAAGGCUCUGGAUAGCUUCAGGGAUGAAUAAGCUGAAGGCAGCUGUUCUCUUACCCUGAGGCAGAGGGCAAGGGGUAGGUAAGGAAGUAUAGGGGAAUUUGGCAUAAACAGGCUUGUUUACUUACAUUGUCCGGAAACCGACUUUGAUCAUCAGGGCAGGAGACUGCUCCCUGAAAGGGGGAAUAAUAAUGUUAAUUACCCACAGAUUGUGUUGGCUCCAGGCUUUCAUUAUUUUGUCUGUACUGAAUAAAAGCAAGCAGCUCCAGCUGUUCGAGACUGCUCACUCUUCAGCCAUUAGUGCUGGGCAUUCCUGUAGCUGCUCUUACACUGCAUGCCUGUGGCUGAGUACUCCUUUCAUCCGUUGCUUGGCCAGGGUCUGUGGGAUGGACCCCGCAGGUAAGGGUUAUCAAAAAAAAAAAAAAUUCACAGGCAGAUAGGAACACCAUGACCAUACUAAAAGGCUUUUUUCCCAUUUUAGUCUUGCAAGUUUGUAAAGAAGGAUAUGAAGCCCCUAAGAAAUCAGUGAAACACUUU
rnacentral:lncRNA from 10 species